UACGUAGGGGGCAAGCGUUGUCCGGAAUCAUUGGGCGUAAAGAGCGUGUAGGCGGCCCGAUAAGUCCGCUGUGAAAGUCCAGGGCUCAACCCUGGAAUGCCGGUGGAUACUGUCGGGCUCGAAUCCGGAAGAGGUGAGUGGAAUUCCUGGUGUAGCGGUGAAAUGCGCAGAUAUCAGGAGGAACACCGGUGGCGAAGGCGGCGACCUGGGUCGAGACUGACGCUGAGGCGCGAAAGCGUGGGGAGCAAACAGG
rnacentral:rRNA from 1 species